AGAAAUUAUAUCAACUCUCAUCUUUUCUUAAAUUGUUCCCCGAUCCCGAUCUAAAUGAAAAUGUAUAAAAUGCAAAUUGUGGUAUUCACGAGUGAAAUAUAUUUUGAUUUUACAUGGAAAACAAUUAAUAGUUACUUUAAUUUCAUGUUUUGAAUAGAUUUAACCAUUUAAGUUGAUAUCUUUCACUGUGAGAAAAUACCAGAUAUAUUUCAAUCUAAUAUUUCGAUAGUUCAUUGAAAGCAUGCUAUGAAACAAAACAUGUAUUUCGAUGCAAACAACGCACUUCACGAAUGACUAAAGCGUCAUUUACAGAUUAGCACUGAUAGCAAUCGUGUUAUGAAUCUAAUUACUUAUACAUAUGAAUUCAAUUUCUUACGGCUGGCCAUGACCUUCUGGAAGCAGCGUCAAUUUGGCCAGAAUUUCUUCUGAUAAGCAAUCGACGCUGGUUGACGCUGCUUUGUUGUUUCAGAGAUCCAUAACUACAAAAGUAUACAACACUGGAUCAUUUAAACACAACGCGAAAUAAGAAAAAACAGUACUGUCAACAUGAAUCCGAUUUAGUAAUUGUCGUUUGGAUAUAUGUUCAGCGAUGUCUAGAAACUGCUGAAUUAUGAUACUGUUGUCAGUUUCCGAAUGGUUACUCCCAGCAAUUAGACAAAGUCUCAAAACAAAGUCUUGAGCAUACAAUACAAAAUAGCAGAACAGUGGUGACGGAUAUCGAGGUGGAAGAGGUCAAAGUCAUGGAGGUCAAAGAGGUCAAGGCUACAGAGGUCAAGGUCUGCGAGGCCAGAGUGCAUGGCGGGGUCGUGGUGGAAGAUAGGUCCACAUGGGGUUUUGGAAUGUCAUUGGUUGGAGUGCAGAUGCAGAAAGUGACAGUUAUUUAUUUGAGACAUCAAUGUAUUAACUUUUUAGACUUUGAUAUUAUAGGCGUUUGUGAAACUCAUUUAACACAUAAUAAUGUUAUUAAUUUACCUGGUUAUAUAUUCUUUGGAAAUAAUAGAAAAACAUUACAUAUAAAUGCAAGAAAUGGUUCAGGUGGGUUGGGCUUUUAGUUAAAGCAGCUUUAGCCGAAGUUUUUCAUAUUUCUGCACUUAAUGAUAGUUAUGAAGGAAUAUUAUGGCUUGAAUUUGUUGAUAAACAGUCUGGGUAUUCAUUUUAUACCUGUGUGUGUUAUUUGCCACCCAAUAAUUCGUCUAGAAAUGUUGAUGCAGAUGAUAUUUAUGAUACUUUGUUAACUAAUGUAUAUUCGUAUCAGAAUAGUCGGCCAGUAAUUAUUUUUGGAGACUUUAACAGUCAGAUAGGUGACUCAGAUGAUUUUAUUGUUGGAGUUGAUGAGAUAGUGGAACGAAAUGUUGUUGAUUUUAAAACUAAUGUUUAUGGUGACAAACUCAUAGAAUUUUUAAUUGAUUGUAAUAUGUGUGUUUCAAUGGUCGUAAUUAUAUAAAGAAUGACUUUACAUCUAUUUCUGUAAAAGGUAGUGCAGUUGUAGACUACUGUAUUAUUCAACAUGAAUAUAUGGAUUAUUUUAGAGAAUUUAGUGUAGUGAGAGUUACUGAACUCAUCUCUAACGUCCGUCUGAAAACUGGACUCACACCGUCAUCUAUACCUGACCAUUCUGUAUUAUCAUGGAUAUUUGAAUUACCCAGAUUUAGUCUAUUAGUUGAAGAAAGUUCACCUCAGUCAGAGUUCAGUACUCCUCAUUAUGAUAAAUUUGAUCUCAGAAAGAUACCAGAUAACUUCUUAUGUACAGAUGAUAUUGUUCAGUCUCUUCUUGAGAAAGUAUUCAGUCUAGAACAGAGUCUAAGAUAUCAGAGUGACGUUGAUAAUGCUUAUACAAAUAUUUGUUCAU
rnacentral:lncRNA from 1 species